AGUGAACGCUGGCGGUAGGCCUAACACAUGCAAGUCGAACGGCAGCACAGUAAGAGCUUGCUCUUACGGGUGGCGAGUGGCGGACGGGUGAGGAAUACAUCGGAAUCUACUUUUUCGUGGGGGAUAACGUAGGGAAACUUACGCUAAUACCGCAUACGACCUACGGGUGGAGGCAGGGGAUCUUCGGACCUUGCGCGAUUGAAUGAGCCGAUGUCGGAUUAGCUAGUUGGCGGGGUAAAGGCCCACCAAGGCGACGAUCCGUAGCUGGUCUGAGAGGAUGAUCAGCCACACUGGAACUGAGACACGGUCCAGACUCCUACGGGAGGCAGCAGUGGGGAAUAUUGGACAAUGGGCGCAAGCCUGAUCCAGCCAUACCGCGUGGGUGAAGAAGGCCUUCGGGUUGUAAAGCCCUUUUGUUGGGAAAGAAAAGCAGCAGGUUAAUACCCCGCUGUUCUGACGGUACCCAAAGAAUAAGCACCGGCUAACUUCGUG
rnacentral:rRNA from 1 species